UCCCUGGUGGCUCAGAUGGUAAAGCGUCUGCCUGCAAUGCAGGAGUCCAGGGUUCGAUUCCUGGGUCGGGAA
rnacentral:tRNA from 1 species